UCCGUGCUCCUUUCUCGAAGUCCUUCACUCCACUAUGCCGUUCCUCAAGUAUCACAGGUCUCUAUAAUCUCCGAGACGAUUAUUUAUCGAUGAGAAUCACAGCUCUCUUUAUUUUCGGCCCGUGUUCCCAGCAUCUUCGGGUUUGUUGCUACAAUGAAGAGGCCCUGGUGCGCGAUUAAUCGGCCACGGCCAACCUCCAGCCUCCAAGAUGAACACUCCUCAAGGACGUGGCUUAGAAAUAACAUUCUUCUUCUAUUUCGGUACUUUCCCAAACUUUCCGUGGACUCGCUGGAAGACAACGAUAAAAAUACGCGAGGAGCGUAUUCGCACCCCGUGCCUCGACGGAAAAAUCUGUUCGAAGGCACAAAUUGAUCCAGUUUGUUUAAUCCAAUUCCCUCGGACGCGGUCGACCAUUCGACGUCGCUUCUCCGCGAUUCUCGCAUUUUAAACGAGCAUUCCUCGAUCAUCUCGAAGUGCGCGCCAUCGAUCUUUCGAAUUGCUUUUUCCCGCCAAAAUGUUUCGGUCACAUUUCUUGCUUUAAUUAUUCCAUUAACUGAUGCAGUGUUCACUGUUCAAAUAUUUCUGGGUUUUUUGUUUGGUUUAAUUCUUGAUUAGUUGUGACGCACUGGUGACGCACUGAUGACGCACUAGUGACGCAAAGGACGAAUGUAACAAAAAUAGUUUUUAUUCAAGGUUUCUAAGGCUUUUUGUUUAGUUUGAUUUUUCGUUCUUCAUGACGCACUCUUGACGCACUGAUGACGCACUCUUGACGCACUGGUGACGCACUGGUGACGCACAGUAGAAACGUAACGAAAAUAAUUUGUAAUAAUGGCCUCUAAAGUUAUAGUAUAACCAUUUCAAGGUUUUUUAUUUAGUUUGACUCUUGCUUCUACAUGACGCACUUGUGACGCACUCGCGACGCACAGAUGACGCACAGUACAAACGUAAUAAAAAUAGUUUAUAUUGAAGGUUUCUAAAGUCAUAAUAUAACCAUUUCAAGGUUUUUUAUUUAGUUUGAGUCUUGGUUCCACAUGACGCACUCGUGACGCACUCCUGACGCACUGAUGACGCACAGUACGAACGUAAUAAAAAUAGUUCGUAUUAAGGAUGUCUAAGUUCAUAAUACAACCAUUUCAAGGUUUUUUUAUUUGGUUUGACUUCAGGUUCCUUGUGACGCACUCGUGACGCACAGUGCAAAUGUAACGAAAAUAAAUUAUAUUUAUUUUACGAUUAAGUUUUGAGUUCGGCACGAGUUUUAGUUUGUAUUAAAUUUCUAAUGUAGCCAUUGAAAGCUUUUUUUUAUUUAAUUUGACUCUUGAUUCCUUGUGACGCACCCGUGACGCACAGUACAAAAGUAACAAAAAUAAAUUAUAUUCGUUUCACGUUCGAGUUUUGAGUUCGACAGGAGUUGUAGUUUGUAUUAAACUGACAAUAUAACCGUUGCAAGGUUUUUUUUAUUUUAAUUUAAGUCUUGGUUCCUUGUGACGCAAUCAUGACGCACAUCGUAAGCGUAAC